AUUGAACGCUGGCGGCAGGCCUAACACAUGCAAGUCGAGCGGAUGAAGGGAGCUUGCUCCUGGAUUCAGCGGCGGACGGGUGAGUAAUGCCUAGGAAUCUGCCUGGUAGUGGGGGAUAACGUCCGGAAACGGGCGCUAAUACCGCAUACGUCCUGAGGGAGAAAGUGGGGGAUCUUCGGACCUCACGCUAUCAGAUGAGCCUAGGUCGGAUUAGCUCGUUGGUGGGGUAAAGGCCUACCAAGGCGACGACCCGUAACUGGUCUGAGAGGAUGAUCAGUCACACUGGAACUGAGACACGGUCCAGACUCCUACGGGAGGCAGCAGUGGGGAAUAUUGGACAAUGGGCGAAAGCCUGAUCCAGCCAUGCCGCGUGUGUGAAGAAGGUCUUCGGAUUGUAAAGCACUUUAAGUUGGGAGGAAGGGCAGUAAGUUAAUACCUUGCUGUUUUGACGUUACCAACAGAAUAAGCACCGGCUAACUUCGUG
rnacentral:rRNA from 1 species